CCCUUAGAUGUCCUGGGCUGCACGCGCGCUACACUGAUGUGUCCAGUAAGCACCUAUCCUCUUCCGAAAGGAACGGGUAACCUUUGCAAAGCACAUCGUGAUGGGGAUAGAUUAUUGCAAUUAUUAGUCUUGAACGAGGAAUUCCUAGUAAGCACAAGUCAUCAGCUUGUGUUGAUUACGUCCCUGCCCUUUGUACACACCGCCCGUCGCUCCUACCGAUUGAAUGUUCCGGUGAGCUCUUCGGACUGCGCGGUCUGCAGUUUCUGCGUUCCGUGCGGAAAGUUGCGCAAACCUUAACAUUUAGAGGAAGGAGAAGUCGUAACA
rnacentral:rRNA from 1 species